GAAGCGUCUAUUCAGCAUGAUCAAUGAACUUCCAACAGCUUUUGAAAUUGUGGCUGAAAGAAAGCAUGUAAAAGAGAAGCCCACUGCUGAUAGUGGAAGCAAAUCUCGUGGUAGUACGAAGAAAUCUAGUGACAGUCAGGCCAAAAGCACACCAAAGCUUGCAGAUGAAAGUUACCCGGAGGAAGAAGAACAUGGUGAGACACUCUGCGGCAGCUGUGGUGGGAAUUAUAGUGCUGAUGAAUUCUGGAUCGGCUGCGACAUCUGUGAGAGGUGGUUCCAU
rnacentral:misc_RNA from 1 species